rnacentral:rRNA from 1 species
AUUGAACGCUGGCGGCAGGCCUAACACAUGCAAGUAGAACGAGUGGCGGACGGGUGAGUAAUGUCUGGGAAACUGCCUGAUGGAGGGGGAUAACUACUGGACACGGUAGCUAAUACCGCAUACCAACGGGUGUGAACAGAUGGGAUUAGCUAGUAGGUGGGGUAAAGGUUCACCUAGGAGACGAUCCCUAGCUGGUCUGAGAGGAUGACCAGCCACGCUGGACCUUAGCCACGGUCCAGACUUCUACGGUAGGCAGCAGUGGGGAAUAGUGCACAAUGGGCGCAAUCCUUAUGCAGCCAUGCCGCGUGUAUGAAGAAGGCCUUCGGGUUGUAAAGUACUUUCAGCGGGGAGGAGUUACCCGCAGAAGAAGCACCGGCUAACUCCGUGCCAGCAGCCGCGGUAAUAC